rnacentral:rRNA from 1 species
UACGGGGGGAGCAAGCGUUGUUCGGAUUUACUGGGCGUAAAGGGCGCGUAGGCGGUCAGUGCAAGUCAGUUGUGAAAUCUCCGGGCUUAACUCGGAAAGGUCAACUGAUACUGCUCGACUAGAGUGCGGAAGGGGCAACUGGAAUUCUUGGUGUAGCGGUGAAAUGCGUAGAUAUCAAGAGGAACACCUGCGGCGAAGGCGGGUUACUGGGCCGACACUGACGCUGAAGCGCGAAAGCUAGGGGAGCGAACGGG